UACGUAGGGGCUAGCGUUAUCCGGAAUUACUGGGCGUAAAGGGUGCGUAGGUGGUUUCUUAAGUCAGAGGUGAAAGGCUACGGCUCAACCGUAGUAAGCCUUUGAAACUGGGAAACUUGAGUGCAGGAGAGGAGAGUGGAAUUCCUAGUGUAGCGGUGAAAUGCCUAGAUAUUAGGAGGAACACCAGUUGCGAAGGCGGCUCUCUGGACUAUAACUGACACUGAGGCACGAAAGCGUGGGGAGCAAACAGGAUUAGAUACCCUGGUAGUCCCUGAG
rnacentral:rRNA from 1 species